UACGAAGGGGGCUAGCGUUGCUCGGAAUCACUGGGCGUAAAGCGCACGUAGGCGGAUUGCUAAGUCAGGGGUGAAAUCCUGGAGCUCAACUCCAGAACUGCCUUUGAUACUGGCGACCUUGAGUCCGGGAGAGGUGAGUGGAACUGCGAGUGUAGAGGUGAAAUUCGUAGAUAUUCGCAAGAACACCCGUAGCGAAGGCGGCACUCUGGGCCGGUACUGACGCUGAGGAGCGAAAGCGUGGGGAGCAAACAGG
rnacentral:rRNA from 1 species